rnacentral:rRNA from 1 species
GAUGAACGCUGGCGGCGUGCCUAAUACAUGCAAGUCGAGCGAACGGACGAGAAGCUUGCUUUUCUGAUGUUAGCGGCGGACGGGUGAGUAACACGUGGAUAACCUACCUAUAAGACUGGGAUAACUUCGGGAAACCGGAGCUAAUACCGGAUAAUAUUUUGAACCGCAUGGUUCAAAAGUGAAAGACGGUCUUGCUGUCACUUAUAGAUGGAUCCGCGCUGCAUUAGCUAGUUGGUAAGGUAACGGCUUACCAAGGCAACGAUGCAUAGCCGACCUGAGAGGGUGAUUGGCCACACUGGAACUGAGACACGGUCCAGACUCCUGCGGGAGGCAGCAGUAGGGAAUCUUCCGCAAUGGGCGAAAGCCUGACGGUGCAACGCCGCGUGAGUGAUGAUGGUCUUCGGAUCGUAAAACUCUGUUAUUAGGGAAGAACAUAUGUUUAAGUAACUGUGCACAUCUUGACGGUACCUAAUCAGAAAGCCACGGCUAACUACGUG